rnacentral:tRNA from 1 species
GCGCUAUUAGUUUAGUGGUAAAAUAGCUGCUUCCCAAGCAGCUGUCCCGGGUUCGAUUCCCGGAUGGCGCA